GUGCCAGCAGCCGCGGUAAUACGUAGGGUGCAAGCGUUGUUCGGAAUCACUGGGCGUAAAGAGAGCGUAGGCGGGAUUGUAAGUUAGAAGUUUAAUACAAGGGCUUAACCCUUGACCGGCUUUUAAUACUGCAGUUCUUGAAUGUGGGAGAGGGCGAUGGAAUUCCAGGUGUAGCGGUGGAAUGCGUAGAUAUCUGGAAGAACACCAGUAGCGAAGGCGGUCGCCUGGCCUAACAUUGACGCUGAGGCUCGAAAGCUAGGGGAGCAAACAGGAUUAGAAACCCCGGUAGUCC
rnacentral:rRNA from 1 species